GCCCCGGCCCGCAUACAACGCUGUCUGCACCGCUCCCCUGCCUUCUUCCGGGCUCCCAGAGCACCGCUAUGGAGAUGCUCUCCCGGCAUUUGAGGAAGAAUUGAUUGUCCUCAUCCUGCAACUGUACUUGCCCAACCGAUAUUUAUUGAUGCCUGCAGUGUCCUGGGUGCCUACCAAGGGGCACAGAACUGGAUCCGACGCAGACCCUGCCUGCCUUCAGGUUGCUUGAAGAUGAACAGAGAGAUCGGACCUCUGCAUGAAGCCAGACUGCUCAUCAUUCCAGACAUCUUCAGCUGCUACACCCAGAACAAGCAUUCGAAAUAUGAACAGGAUGGCUGGAGUACAGUGUUGCAACCACAACUCCCUGCAGCCUCAACCUCCCAGACUCAAGCGAUCAUCUCCCCUCUCAGCCUCCUGAGUAGCUGGGACUGCAGGUGUGUGCAACUACACCCAGAUAAUUUUUUUUAUUUUUUUGUAGAGACAGGGUCUCACUCUAUUGCUGCAGCUAGUCUUAAACUCCUAGACUCAAGUGAUCCUCUUGCCUUCACCUCCCAAAGUGUGGGAAUUACAGGUGUGGGUCACCACACCUGGCCAAAGUGUGAAUCUGUUACCAAUAAUAUACUUAAAUGUCAGGAAUUUAAAAUCACUUAUAUUUAGACAUCACAAUACAAUGAAAAAAACAUGAUACCUGGAGGAGGAGUGUAUAUAUUCUCUAUUAAGAAUAUAGGCUGGGCGGGGUGGCUCACACCUGUAAUCCCAACACUUUGGGAGGCCAAGGUGGGUGGAUCAUUUGAGGUCAGGAGUUCCAGACCAGCCUGGCCAACAUGGUAAAACCCCGCCUCUACUAAAAAUACAAAAAUUAGCCAGGCGUGGUGGCAGGCGCUUGUAGUCCCAGCUACUCGGGAGGCUGAGGCAAGAGAAUCGCUUGAACCUGGAAGGCAGAGGUUGCAGUGAGCUGAGAUCAAACCCUUGACCUCAGAUGAUCUGGCCACCUCGGCCUCCCAAAGUGCUGGGAUUACAGGCAUGAGCCAAUGCGCAUGGCCUAAAAUUAUAUUCUUUUUUUUUUUUUUUUUGAGACGGAGUCUCACUCUGUAGCCCAGGCUGGAGUGCAAUGGCAUGAUCUCAGCUCACCGCAACCUCCACCUCCUGGGUUCAAGCGAUUCUCCUGCCUCAGCCUCCUGAGUAGCUGUGAUUACAGGCAUGCACCACCAUGCCCGGAUAAUUUUGUAUUUUUAGUAGAGAUGAUGUUUCUCCAUGUUGGCCAGGCUGGUCUCGAACUCCUGACCUCAGGUGAUCUGCCCACCUCGGCCUCCCAAAGUGCUGGGAUUACAGGCGUGAGCCACCAUGCCCAGCCUAUUGUUGUUUUUCAACAGAACUUUUGGAAAGGUUUCUAAAACUAGUAACCUGAUCUUAACCUUAUUUAUUAAGAUUAUUUGAUAUAAAAGUUAUAACAAAGUCAAUUUCUUUUUCCCCAACAUGCCAUUACUGGCUUGAAAAGUCAGUGAUUUUUUUUUCUUUCUUUCUUUCUUUUGGGACAGAGUCUUGCUCUGUCGCCAGGCUGGAGUGCAGUGGCGCAAUCUCGGCGCAUUGCAACCUCCGCCUCCUGGGUUCAAGCGAUUCCCCUGCCUCAUCCUCCUGAGUAGCUGGGAUUACAGGCGCCUGCCAACACCCCCCGGGAUAAUUUUUUGUAUUUUAGUAGACACGGGGUUUCACCAUGUUGGCCAGGAUGAUCUCGAUCUCCUGACCUCGUGAUCCACCCGCCUCAGCCUCCCAAAGUGCCAGGAUUACAGGCAUGAGCCACCGUGCCCGGUCAAAAAGUCAGUGAUUUUUAAAUCUCAUUUAUACACAUAGGAAAACGAAUAUGCUUCAUUUGAUAAUUCAGUAAGAUAUGGCAUUCAGUGAAACCAGAGGAAACAGAUCUGGCUGUCAUAGGAAUUUAGAUUAGUUUUUUUAAUCCAAAUUGAAAUAAAUUUGAAAUAAAUUCUGGUUUCUUCCUGGCAAUUGGUGAACAUUUUCAGAAAUUCAUCUCAGUAAUAUUUAUGAAUAUGUAUAAAGUACUUAUUAUACUUUACUAUGAAAAAGUAUACUUUUUUUCUUUUUUUUUGGUGGGGGGAGACAGAGUCUCACUCUGUUGCCCAGACUAGAGUGCAGUGGCAGGAUCUCAGCCCACUGCAACCUCCACUUCCCAGGUUCAAGUGAUUCUCGUGCCUGAGCCUGCCAAGUAGCUGAGACUACAGGCAAGUGCCACCACGCUUGGCUAAUUUUUGUAUUGUUAGUAGAGACGGGGUUUCACCAUGUUGGCCAGGCUGGUCUUGAACUCCUGAACCUUGAGUGAUCCACCCGCCUCGGCCUCCCAUAGUAAGCCACCGCGCCCAGCCCAAAUUUUGUAAAUUCUUACGUUAAAAUGAACUUCAAGCCCAGCACAGUGGCUCACACCUGUAAUCCCAGCACUUUGGGAGGCCGAUGCGGAUCACCUGAGGUCAGGAGUUCGAGACCAGCCUGGCCAACAUGGUGAAACACUGUCUCUACAAAAAUACAAAAAAUUAGCUGGGUGUGGUGGCAGGCAUCUGUAACCCCAGCUACUCAGGAGGCUGAGGCAGGAGAAUCACUUGAACCUGGGAGGCAGAGGUUGCGGUGAGCCAAGAUCGCGCCAUUGCACUCCAGCCUUGGCGACAAGAGCAGAAACUCUGUCUCAGAAAACAAAAAGAACUCCAAAAAUUCUCAACUAUUUUAUGGUACCAGAAUCUUUUUUUUUUUUUUUUUUUUGAGACGAAGUUUCCCUCUUGUUGCCCAGGCUGGAGUGCAAUGGCACAAUCUCGGCUCACCGCAACCUCCACCUCCCAGGUUCAAGUGAUUCUCCUGCCCCAGGCUCCAGAGUAGCUGGUAUUACAGACAUGCGCCACCAUGCCCAGCUAAUUUUGUAUUUUUAGUAGAGAUGGGGUUCCUCCAUAUUGGUCAGGCUAGUUUCGAACUCCCAACCUCAGGUGAUCCACCUGCCUCGGCCUCCCAAAGUGCUGGGAUUACAGGCGUGAGCCACUGCGCCCGGCCUUAUGGUACCAGAAUCUCAUUAUAGAUAUUACUUGCAAUAGAUUGUUCACUGGUAUGGUGGCAGUAUUAUGGAAACUUUCACUGUAGCAGUAUUUGACCUAUUUAAGACAUAUAGCUGCUCUCUUGAAGGAAGCAGUGGGGCAAGUUAUAAUUUAGCUGCUUGGAUUAUUUGCCGGCAGAUUGCAUAUUAAGGUUGGUAUCCCAGGUUAUCUCAGAGGAAAUAUACCCCAAAGGAAAGAUUUUAAAAGUGAAUAUUUUCAUUAUUUUUCAUUUAAAAUAUAAAUGUAUGUCCUGUCCCCUUUAUAUAAAGGGAACUGUUACACAAUCAAACAAACUACUAAGAUACAAGAUGUGUUCAUCACUAAAAUCCUAUGCGGUAAGUAUGUUGUUUCCCCCAUCUUACAGAUGAGGAAACGGAAGCACACCUUAAUUUACCUGAGGUCACACAGCUGGAGCUGGCAUUCAAACCCAAUCAUUGUGGCUUUAGAGUCAGCUCCUUAAAUUUUUUACUAAACUAUUAUUUUUCCUCUGUAAGCAAACUUCAAAUUUGCCGGAAAGAAACAUUAAGAGAUUAUCUGUUUUCUCUUAAGUUUAAUCAUUUAAAUUUAGGAAUGUAAAAUAGUGAUAGCUUUGGCUUUUUAAAUAACUAGUUCUAGAGUCUUUAGUUCCUUUCUUCAGCCUUUGUUCUGUUUUUUUUGUUCGUUUGUUUUCUGAGACGGAGUCUCGCCCUGUCGCCCAGGCUGGGGUGCAGUGGCGCGAUCUCGGCUCACUGCAAGCUCCGCCUCCCGGGUUCACGCCAUUCUCCUGCCUCAGCCUCUCCGGGUAGCUGGGACUACAGGCGCCUGCCACCACGCCCGGCUAAUUUUUUUGUUAUUUUUAGUAGAGACGGGGUUUCACCGUGAUCUCGAUCUCCUGACCUCGUGAUCCUCCCGCCUCGGCCUCCCAAAGUGCUGGGAUUACAAGCGUGAGCCACCGCGCCCGGCUCUGUUAAUACGAUUUGCAAAAGCAUCAACCUUCUAAAAUAUAGUUGUAUUCCUGAAAUAGAGAAACUUUCCAUUGACUUUAUUAUGUUAAUAAUAGCAUACUCUGGCCGGGCACGGUGGCUCACGCCUGUAAUCCCAAUACUUUAGGAGGCCGAGGCCAGCGGAUCACUUGAGGUCAGGAGUUUGAGACCAGCCUGGCCAACAUGGUUGAAACCCUUGCUCUACUAAAAAUACAAAAAUUAGUCGGGCGUGGUGGCGGGCGCCUGUAGUCCCAGCUACUCGGGAGGCUGAGGCAGAAGAAUCACUUGAACCCAGAGGCAGAGGUUGCAGUGAGCCGAGAUCACACCAUUGCACUCCAGCCUGGGCGACAGAGCAAGACUCUGUCUCAAAAAAAAAUAAAUAAUAAUAAUAAUAAUAAUAAUAAUAAUAAUAAUAAUAGCAUACUCUGACCCAACAACCCAAAGCACUUUAAAAUGUAAGCAAGUUGGCCAGGCGCGGUGGCUCACGCCUGUAAUCCCAGCACUUUGGGAGGCACAGGCGGGCGGAUUACGAGGUCAGGAGUUCGAGACCAGCCUGAGCAACAUGGUUGAACCCCAUCUCUACUAAAAAUACAAAAAUUAGCCGGGCAUGGUGGCACAUGCCUGUAAUCCCAGCUACUCAGGAGACUGAGGCAGGAGAAUCGCUUGAACCUGGGAGGUGAAGGUUGCAGUGAGCCGAGAUCUGGCCACUGCAUUCCAGCCUGGGCAAUAGAGUGAGACUCUGUCUCAAAAAAUAAAAAAAAAGUAAGCAAGUUAAGUCUCAUUUAUGGUUCAUAAAUAAUAAUAAUGUAAGCAAAGAUGUAAUUCAUGUUGUUUAUAAUAGUCAUAAGCUAAAAACAUAAAAUAAUAAUACAAGAAAAACUGGUUAAAUAAUCGACUACAUCCACGGUGUGAUACUAUGCAACCAGUAGAAAUGAUAAACAUACAUAAAAUGGCAUUUGAUAUUUCAUUUCAGUGAAAUUGAUGUUAUAAAAUAGAAUAAUAUGGCCCCAUUAUUAUAAGUUUAGUUACAUUUACAGAUGUAUACAAAAAAGUCUAGAAGGAUAUUCAUGAAAAUAUUAACGGUGAUUAGCUCUGGAUGUUGGGAUUACAAAUUAUAUACUUAAUAUAUUGUAAUUACAUGUAUUUUAAUUUUUUACUAUAAGCAUUUUACUUUUAUAAUCAUAAAAAGAAAGAAAAUAUUUUUUUCAUAAAGGACAACACAUAGUAUUUCCUGAAAGAAGGAGCAGUAGUAUUUAGCUACAAAUUAAAGCUUUCAUAGCAAAUGACAUAAAAACUGGUAUACAUAUAUACAGUACCAUAGAAUUCAAAAGAAAAAGAUAAAAACAUUUCAAACAACUCUUUCUUAAUAAGCUAAAACAGAGAGAUUAACACAAACCUUUCUUAGUUUAGGUAAAUCUGAGAAGCAAACCAUGUUUAGAAGUUACAGCAUGGCCAUCUUCAAUUUAUUUUCUGAAUUUGUCCCUUUGCUGGUAUAGAGCAGAUUCAGUUCAGUUGAAUGUAGUGAGUGAGUCAUCCAUCAACUAAAAUCCAUGUCCCUUUCUGCUUAUCCUUGCUUUUAAAACAGCACCAUCCAAUAGAACUUUCUGCAACAAUGGAAAUAUUCUAUCUGUGCUAGCCAAUAAGGCAGCCAGUAGCCAAAUGUAGCUAUUGAACACUUGCAUUAUGGUUUGUGUGUCAGAGCAAUUGAAUUUUUAAUUUUAAAUAAUUUUAAUAAAAAUGUAAAGAGCUGCAUCUACCUAAUGGCUGCUUUUUUGGACAGCACAGAUAAAGAAUGCUUAUAAUAGUCCUGAUAACACACUGCAAUCUAGAAGACUAAAGUCAUGAGCCCCAAAUUAAGCUGAGUGAAUGAUUCCUCCAUAAUUCAGAGAUGUCAAAUUUAAAAUGACAGGAGGUAUUUGUGUGCUGUUUGUAUGCAACUUUUGCCACUGGGGGAACCUAAUAAAAUGUCAUUGUUUUUUGUGCAAUAAACCAUGUUUCUAGAACCAAAAAAGUCUUUCUUACUAGAUAAUAACUUCUUGGUCAUCUGCCUUAAUAAAUGGGUCAUGUCCGAUUUCAUAGAUAGAUCCUGAUUCUGUCUCCCAUGUUCUGUUAUUAACAAUUACAUUGUAUUUUAGGUCAUUAAAGGUCCCUUCAGAGCUAGUGAUCUGGCAGGUUGAGCAUAACAGAUAAAUACUUCUUCCCUGGGCUUUUUUGCCAACAAUAGCUACUUCUCAGAUUAAAUACAAACAUUUCACCAGGGACAAAUAUAUAUAUAUAUAUAUA
rnacentral:lncRNA from 10 species